rnacentral:rRNA from 1 species
CCUACGGGCGGCAGCAGUGGGGAAUAUUGCACAAUGGGGGAAACCCUGAUGCAGCGACGCCGCGUGAGUGAAGAAGUAUUUCGGUAUGUAAAGCUCUAUCAGCAGGGAAGAAAAUGACGGUACCUGAUUAAGAAGCCCCGGCUAACUACGUGCCAGCAGCCGCGGUAAUACGUAGGGGGCAAGCGUUAUCCGGAUUUACUGGGUGUAAGGGGAGCGUAGACGGCAGCACAAGUCUGGAGUGAAAUGCCGGGGCUUAACCCCGGAACUGCUUUGGAAACUGUGCAGCUAGAGUGCAGGAGAGGUAAGUGGAAUUCCUAGUGUAGAGGUGAAAUGCGUAGAUAUUAGGAGGAAAACCAGUGGAGAAGGCGGCUUACUGGACUGUAACUGACGUUGAGGCUCGAAAGCGUGGGGAGCAAACAGGAUUAGAUACCCUUGUAGUC